AUGAAGCAACUUGACAGUGUGCAAGUGAUUCAACACAACUAAUUUUGGUGCCAUCAACGAGAGGGAAUGCACUAUAUGCCUAUUUGAUUUGCACCCAUCAGCAGCAGAUUGUCACUGUUCUCUGGAUAGAUAUGCAUGCCUAAAUCACGCAAAACAGUUGUGUUCUUGUGCUUUACACCACUGAUUUCCUAAUGGAUUCUUGAAUUCCGAGAUGCUGAGCUGAGCAUGCAGGGUUUAAAUUCCAAACAGAUCAAGCAGUCUGCCAAUGCAAUAUCUCAAUAGAUAAAAGUCACUGCAAGUCCAACAAACGAAAGUUUCUCUGCAAGCCAUCAGUCUAACAUCUCUACUGCUGCUACUGUUGAAGCUGCUCAUUUGAAGGCUGACAUCAUGUCAAUAUUUGAGGGUCUGACACAGGAUGAUCAAGAUUCUGUUAGGUUAUUGGCUGUUAAGGGUUGUGCAGCUCUCAGAAAACUGUUGGAACCUCAAGAUUGUGUAGCAUAUAUUCCUCCCAUAAAUUAUGAAUUUCUCUCAGGAUAAGUCUUGACGUGUUCGCUAUAUGGUUGCAAAUCAAUUAUAUGAGCUAUGUGAAGCUGUUGGUCCUGAGCCUACCAGGUCAGACUUGGUUCCUACAUAUGUUCGGUUGCUUCAUGACAAUGAGGCUGAAGUACGCAUAGCAGUUGCAGGAAAAGUAACAAAGUUCUGUUGGAUUUUGAACCCAAAACUUGCAAUUCCACCGUAUCCUUCACAUGUUUCAUCCAUAUUCCAGAAGUUCUAAAAAGGAAAAGAAAAAUCGAUGGUGAUUGGAGGCAUAAAUUAGCAAUCCGGGCUAACCAAUUUUAGUGGCAGCUUGUGUUCGCUCUAUAGAAGCAAGGAGAAGGGUUUUCAUGGAGAUCAGUAAUAUACUUAAUGACUUUAAUGAUUUAUCCAAUGAUUUUAGGCCACCCGGCAAUGAUAUCCAAGCUUUUAUUGAUUUGCUCAAUGAUGAAUUAGCUGCAGCCUGAUUAAGUUUUCCUGAUGAUUACGCAUUAUAAUCCCACUAGUCACAAGGAACCGCAAUGUUAAAGCUUCCUCCACUUCCUUUCAUUCCCACUCCAUGGAACUUUAAUGAUCCAGCAAUAUGCUGCACCCACGUAAUAGCAGCACACUGCUCCAAUACUUAACACAUAGGGGAUCUGCACUUGUUCUGGUUGCUCAACUUGGUUGUCAGUUUUUAUGGUGAUACUGUGAAGAACCUAAUUGAAACGAUGGAGGAUCUCGGAAGAGGGGACUAGCAGUACUCAUGAGGAAGAGGGGAAGAAAGGAAACGAUUCAGAUGUGUAUUUCCUAGAUGAUCCCUUCAGUGUAGUGGAUGCACAUACAGCUGCAAUUCUUUUCUAUUCAUACGUCAUAGCUGCCCUUGCUCAUAAAAUCGUCAGUCUAGUGACUCAUCAAGUGGAGUUUCUCUUUGAAAUCGAUAAAAUUCUGGUUGCGGAAGCUGGAUAGAUAACUCAAUCAGGAAGCUAUGAGAAUCUCUUGACAUCCGGGACAACAUUUGAGCAGCUUGUAAAUGCAUAUAAGAAUGCAGUAACAGUAUUGGAAUUUCCAAAUGAUGUACAAGUAGAACCUCAAAAAUUGGAUCAGAAUCUGCUAGAGAAGUCUCAUGGAUCUCUCUCCAUCAAAGAAAACAGUGAAGGGUAGAUUUCUAUGAAGGAACUGCCUGGGGUUCAGCUCGCUGAAGAAGAAGAAACAGAGAUUGGUGAUGUUAGCACCUGAAGUUAUUAUAUCUUGUGUCCUUAAGUUUAUUGAGAAUCUAUUGAACAUUGAUAACGAAUUGGAUGAUGAAGACAUCACUAUCGAAAAGGAAAGAAAGCUCAGAAUUCUGAUGCAUGUGUAGAAGCUUUGCAACUUAUUCGAGAUAUUAUACCAGUUUCAGGGAGUGAAACUUCUCCAAAAAAAAAUCUUGAAUGCCAUUUCUCCUCUGCUAAUUUCUGCUAGACUGGAUAUACGUUUGGUUAUUUGUGGCCUUCUUGGUGAUCUUGCUGAAACUGACCCUUAGGUACUCUCUGUGGCAAAUCUCAUAAAUGAAUUGAAUGUGACCUCUGUUAUGGAAACGAGUGGCCUGGAUUAUGACACCAUAGUUUAUGCUUAUGAAAAGAUUAGCAUGGAGUUCUUUAAUAAUAUCUCAGAGAAUCAGGCACUGGUCAUUUUGUCGCGUUGUAUAUAUGAUAUGUCAUCCAAUGAACUGACCUUAAGGCACAGUGCAUAUAGGUCAUUGGUCUCUUUGUUGAACUCUCCGUCCAAACUCUUAGACUUGAAGUGAAGACUUGAAGUGAAGAGUGACCGUGAAAUGUCUGAAGCAAUAGUAACAUCCAUACCUGAUGGUUAUUGGACUGAAGCAUGCAUUCAGCGCAUGAUAAACAAAUUCCUUUUGGAAUUGGCAGUAUGUUGGGCAUAGAGUUUGCUAAGAGAGUUUCUGAAACUGUUGAGGUGGCUCUCUAUAUUUGAUUGAAUGCGAGACAUCAUAAGAAUGCUGUAGGGGAGCAGAAUGCUGCAAUUCUGGGUAGAUGGGCAACUUCAAUGAUGGAUAAUAUGAAGCUGCUGCACAGCUUCAUUCUCAAGCUCAGCAGAUUAAUGUAGUUCUAUAUCCUAAAGAUGCUACAGAAAGUGGAAAGCUUUUGUGACUAAAGCAACAUUUUUUUCCCUAUGCAAUGCUUCACUUCAGGACAUCGUUUUCAGAUUCGAGGAGCAGAUGCUUUUUUUUGUUUUUUUUUGUGGGGACUGCCGUCAUUGAUUUGAAUACCAAAUGCAGGGAUAUAGAUCAAGUUGUGAAGGAAUUUUUGUGAAUGCCAAUCUGCAAUGUAGUUUCCCGGACUAUCAUCAUCUCUGGUUUUGUUCAGAAGGAUGACGACACCAAUUAUUAAAUGAGAUAUGCAGUGAAAGAGGCAACAAUGAGGAUGGUGAUCCUUAUCAUGAUAAGGGUUUUGAAGGUCAUGAUUCAUGCUUCAAAUGCUCAGAAGUAUGCGAUAGUUUUGAAGUGAACCAGAAGUCAUUGCCAAGGAGAAAAGGUAAAGGUUCCAGAGUUAAGCAUGCAGGCGACAAGAGCUUAUUUCAAAUCAUCUAUGUUAUUAUCGGUUCUCCGUUAAUUCACGUUCUGUUUCAUAUUUUCAAAAGAGCAAGUGCACGUGGCUGCUCUAUUAGAAAGCACUUUGCAGCAGCGCCUUACCCUAGAGUAGAGACUGGUACAAGAAAGCAAGGUUUUAUUACCUCACUUCUUCCUACUUAUGAAGAUGGAUUAUGCCCACUCCUAUAAAGAACAAUUCUGAACAGAACGGGAAUCUGUGUUCGGAUCUCUUCCAAAACAGAGUCCCUUGUUUGGCACGCUCUGAAGUUUUUCUUCCUUAAUAGAGAGCAGGAUAUAUCAGCAUUUCUACUAGUUGAUUUGGGAAUAGUCAAUUAUCCAACUUAUAAUUGCAUAAAUUCAGAACAUAUCUUCCCAGGCUUGAAUGAUUUACUUAUUUAUGAAGAGACCAUUGAAAACGAUGCUGACCUGGGUGGACAGAUUCAAGCAAUUCCGACCUGAUCAGGCCUGAAACGUUCAAUGAGGGUUGGUUGGUAGAAGUGACAGUAAUAGAAGACAUUUAAAUAACCAAACAUCAGGACUUGUUCGAGAAGCUGAUGCGUUAAAACCUAAAAGACAGCGAAUCUAAUUGGCUCGUACACUCUACCAGGAUGCCGAUGGGAAGAUCCUACAUGCGGCACCUUAUCAUCAGUUGUUGACGUCAAGCCAAGAAUUUCAGGACCUUGUGACUGCACACUAACAGACUGCUGAUUCUGAAAGGCUUACAGAGGUUGCUCUACCUCGUAGAUGUGAAAACCUCUACAGGAGAGAUCAAAAGAACUCAUAUUCAGAAAGAGUUUAAUGCGUCUGGAUGUGAUCAAUUAAUCAAGCAAGAAGAGAGAGAAAUAGGAAAUCCAGACUUUAAGCCCUACAUGCUGCAUCUAAAUCAAAAUAAGCAAUUCUGGCUCUUCCCCACAGAGAGGGAUGAAGAUCACGGGAGUCCAGAAGAUGAUGAUGAUGGUUCUGAGUACGAAGGUGAUGACACAGAUGGUUCAGAUGCUGGAAGCAAUCUUUACAAGGAUGAAGAUGACAGUUCAGGAACUUAUUGGGAAGUCAGACUGAAUAGAUUGGACUUGCUAUCGUGUUGAACUCAUGCAGUUUGAUAUGGAGAUUCAGCUACAGUUCUAGGUCCAGCAAAGGCCAUUGUUCAAAUUAAACCUUCUGGAGUGGAAGUCCAUUGCAUGCCAUAGAUUAUGAGAAUAUGAUAAGCAUAACAGGCUUAAGGCCUGGAAACACUGCCAUAGAUCCAAGAUGGAAUAGGCCAAAUUGUCAUUCAACCACUAACUACUCAAGAAAAUCUUAACAGCUCCAAAAGACAUCAGUAAUGAGCAGAUCAUCCAACUUCGCGCCUUUCAUGUGAUGGUCCUGAUUCAUAGAACAGAGAAGAAGCCUGUUGAGAAGGAACCUUCAGGAGGAACGAGAGAAUGGUGGAGCUUGGUGUCUUCUUGGCAGCCACUCUCGAAAGUUCAGAGAUGUAGGAUCCAUCAGAAAGUCUCUAGCUUACUACCCAUUUGCCUUCACACAUGC